AUGUUCUGUGGAAUGCGAAAUGAAAACAGGCAGGUGUUCCAUUUUGAUGGCCAGGUCCUUCCAUCUUGUGGCUACCCAUCCCCUGGGCCUUGCUGUCAAUUGCAUCAAGAUAGAAGAAGGAACAGACAGUGGAGGAGGUAUGUCUGCUUCUUAAACUGUUUCAGCCCUGAAAGUAGCAUGCCUCAUUUCUGCUCACAUUUCAUUGGCAAGAGUUGGUCACAUGGCCACCUCAGGAUGCAAGGGAGGCUGGGAAAUACAGUUCCUGGCUGGAGAGCUGCUUCCUGGUCAUCACUGUAUCACAAGCCUUGGGAGCAGUGGGAUUUGUAGACAACAACCCUCUGUUGUGUAGCACACUUUGACAAGUUGACAACAGUAUGGCCAUAAAGAAUACAUUGAACUCAGUUAAUUCAGACUGGGAGAGAGGUCAAGAAAAGCUUUGGGGAGGGAGUGACGUUUGAGCUUUGUUUUAAGAAUCUAAGUAAACCAGGUGAAGAAGAAAGUGAUUUGGGGCAGAGAAAGCUUGUGAAACAUGAGGUAUAGAAGUAUAUGGCCUAUUCGGAGGACAAAAGUAGUGCAAUAUAUGUGGAUUGUAUUGUGGAGUCAGGAUAAGGAGGUGAGCCAAAAUGGGUGGCUAAAGAGGUUUUAGAUUCAUAGGAAAUGUUUGUAGGGUGUAGAAUCCACAAGGUUUGGCUGAGGGGUGAGGUCUGAGAGGUAGUAAGAGGCCACAUCACCUAAGGCCUUGUAACUGUGGGUGAAUUUUCAAUCUUACUGUAAAUAAGACAAAACUAAGGAGAGCUGGACUGUGAAGAAAGCUGAGUGCUGAAGAAUUGAUGCUUUUG
rnacentral:lncRNA from 1 species